AUGCAGGAAUGCUGUGGGAAUUUUGGGAAUGGGGCCAGCGGUGACCUGGGACUCACCUGGGGAAUGGGAUGCGGGAAUGUUGUGGGAAUUUUUGGGAAUGGGGCCAGCGGUGACCUGGGACUCACCCCGGCCACGCUGGAGCUCAUCCCGGGCUCCAAACCCUCAUUCCUGCAUCCCAGCUGGAGCCAUCCUGUUGGAUCCCGGCUCCAUCCAGGGAAAACCAAAUCCCGGGAGCGGGGACGCUAUCCCGCGCUGAGUCACCAUUCCCGGGAAGCGCAGCCCGGCAGGGAAGCUCCCACUCGGAUUCCAGUCCUUCCCGAUCCAUGCAGGUAUUCCAGUGACUCAUGGGAUCAUCGCUCCGUCUCCCAGGGAACAGCCGGGAACAGCCCCCGCUCCGGUCACACUUCACCACCCAAACCAGCGAAUUCCCACCGGAUAAACUGGGAAUGGGGAUGGGAGAUCCCCGAGGGAUCAUCCAGAGGGAUCCGACCACCCUGGCGCGCUCGGAAUCCUGGAAUGCUUUGGGUGGGAAGGGGCCUUAAAUCCCAUCCCAUUCCAACCCCAACACCGUCCCCGAUGAUCCCAGGCUGCUCCAGCCUUUCCCUGGACGCUCCCAGGGAUCCAGGGGCAGCCACAACUUCUCUGGGAAUUCCAGCGCAGCCGGGAAUUCCUUCCCAAGAUCCCAGCCCGAGCUCCCCUUUCCCACUGGGAAGCCAUUCCCUGCCUCCUGCCCCUCCAGCCUUUAUCCCAAAUCCCAGCUCUCCUGGAGCCCCUUUAGGCUCGGGAAGUGGCUCCAAGGAUUCCCUGGAUCCUUCCCUUCUCCAGCUGAACAUUCCCAGCUCUCCCAGCCUGGCUCCAGAGGCGCUCCAGCCUCAUCCAGCACCACAAAAACCCCUGGAAUUCUCGUGGCGGUCGGAGCCGAGCUCCAGCCUCUGCCCCUUUCCCAUUCCAAGGGUGACAGGGAUGCUCCGAGGGCUGGGAAUGUGCUCUGGAGAGCCCCAGGGAUUUGAGGGAAUGGGGUCCCUUCCCGGGAUGUUCCGCAGGGAAAGCGGGACCGUCGCCAAAGCCAAGGAAGCGACGCUGGAUCCGGUUGGGAAGGGACACCCGGGAAAGGGCUUGGAGCAGGGAUAG
rnacentral:lncRNA from 13 species